AGUGAACGCUGGCGGCAGGCCUAAUACAUGCAAGUCGAACGGCAGCACAGCAGAGCUUGCUCUGUGGGUGGCGAGUGGCGGACGGGUGAGGAAUACGUGGGAAUCUGCCCAGUCGUGGGGGAUAACGUAGGGAAACUUACGCUAAUACCGCAUGCGCCCUUUGGGGGAAAGCCGGGGAUCUUCGGACCUGGCGCGAUUGGAUGAGCCCACGUCGGAUUAGCUAGUUGGAGGGGUAAAGGCCCACCAAGGCGACGAUCCGUAGCUGGUCUGAGAGGAUGAUCAGCCACACUGGAACUGAGACACGGUCCAGACUCCUACGGGAGGCAGCAGUAGGGAAUAUUGGACAAUGGGCGCAAGCCUGAUCCAGCCAUGCCGCGUGAGUGAAGAAGGCCCUCGGGUUGUAAAGCUCUUUUGUUGGGGAAGAAAAGCCUUGGGUUAAUACCCUGAGGUUCUGACGGUACCCAAAGAAUAAGCACCGGCUAACUUCGUGCCAGCCGCCGCCGUAA
rnacentral:rRNA from 1 species